rnacentral:rRNA from 1 species
UAGGGAAUCUUCCACAAUGGACGCAAGUCUGAUGGAGCAACGCCGCGUGAGUGAAGAAGGUUUUCGGAUCGUAAAGCUCUGUUGUUGGUGAAGAAGGAUAGAGGCAGUAACUGGUCUUUAUUUGACGGUAAUCAACCAGAAAGUCACGGCUAACUACGUGCCAGCAGCCGCGGUAAUACGUAGGUGGCAAGCGUUGUCCGGAUUUAUUGGGCGUAAAGCGAGCGCAGGCGGAAUGAUAAGUCUGAUGUGAAAGCCCACGGCUCAACCGUGGAACUGCAUCGGAAACUGUCAUUCUUGAGUGCAGAAGAGGAGAGUGGAAUUCCAUGUGUAGCGGUGGAAUGCGUAGAUAUAUGGAAGAACACCAGUGGCGAAGGCGGCUCUCUGAUCUGCAACUGACGCUGAGGCUCGAAAGCAUGGGUAGCGAACAGG